GACGAACGCUGACGGUGUGCUUUAGGCAUGCAAGUCGAACGAGAAAGCCCUUCGGGGUGAGUAAAGUGGCGAACGGGUGAGUAACACGUGGGCAACCUGCCCCUCGCAGGGGGACAACCGGAGGAAACUCCGGCUAAUACCCCGUACGCUUGUUGGAUCGCAUGGUCCGGCAAGGAAAGGUAGCUUCGGCCAUCCGGCGAGGGAUGGGCCCGCGUUGCAUUAGCUAGUUGGUGGGGUAACGGCCUACCAAGGCGACGAUGCGUAGCCGGUCUGAGAGGAUGAUCAGCCACACUGGGACUGAGACACGGCCCAGACUCCUACGGGAGGCAGCAGCCAGGAAUCUUGGGCAAUGGGCGAAAGCCUGACCCAGCAACACCGUGUGGGCGAUGAAGGCCUUAGGGUCGUAAAGCCCUGUUGAUAGGGACGAAGGGCGAAGGGUUAAUAGCCCCUAGCUUGACGGUACCUUUCGAGGAAGCCCCGGCUAACUACGUGCCAGCAGCCGCGGUAAUACGUAGGGGGCGAGCGUUGUCCGGAAUUAUUGGGCGUAAAGAGCGUGUAGGCGGUUCGGUAAGUCUGCUGUGAAAUUCUGGGGGCUCAACCCUGGG
rnacentral:rRNA from 1 species